rnacentral:rRNA from 1 species
GACGAACGCUGGCGGCGUGCUUAACACAUGCAAGUCGAACGGAAAGGCCUGCUUUCCCUUGUGGUUUGCGGGUACUCGAGUGGCUAACGGGUGAGUAACACGUGAGUGAUCUGCCCCCAACUUGGGUAUAAGCCUGGGAAACUGGGUCUAAUUCCCGAUAGGACUGCAGGGUGGUGCCUGUGGUGGAAAACGUUCUUCUAGUGGUUGGGGAUGCGCUCGCGGCGUAUCAGGUUGUUGGGGCGGUAAUGGCCUACCAAGGCGGCGACUGGUAGCCGGCCUGGGAGGGUGGACGGCCGCAUUGGGACAGGGACAAGGCCCAGACUGCUACGGGAGGCAGCAGUGGGGAAUCAUGCAGCAUGGGCGGAAGGCUGCAGCAGCGACGCAGCGUGGAGGAUGACGGCAUUCGGGUUGUAAGCUACUUGCGAACGAGAGGAAGGCAACUGGUUGGAAGGGUGGUGACGGUAGUGGUAGAAGAAGCACCGGCUAACUACGUG